UUCGCUUCUCAGCCUUUUGGCUAAGAUCAAGUGUAGUAUCUGUUUUUAUCAGUUUCAGCCCUUGACCCGAAGCGCCGGUAUUGGGCUGGUGGGGAUGGGUGCUGCAUGGAGGGGACAGGUGUACCAGGGCGUUCCGGGGCUGGUUCUGAGGAAUCAACUCGACGGCUGCCCCGAUGUGACCUGUU